UGGGGAAUUUUGGACAAUGGGCGCAAGCCUGAUCCAGCAAUGCCGCGUGCAGGAUGAAGGCCUUCGGGUUGUAAACUGCUUUUGUACGGAACGAAAAGGAUGGCUCUAAUACAGCUGUCUGAUGACGGUACCGUAAGAAUAAGCACCGGCUAACUACGUGCCAGCAGCCGCGGUAAUACGUAGGGUGCAAGCGUUAAUCGGAAUUACUGGGCGUAAAGCGUGCGCAGGCGGUGUUGUAAGACAGAGGUGAAAUCCCCGGGCUCAACCUGGGAACUGCCUUUGUGACUGCAACGCUAGAGUACGGCAGAGGGGGAUGGAAUUCCGCGUGUAGCAGUGAAAUGCGUAGAUAUGCGGAGGAACACCGAUGGCGAAGGCAAUCCCCUGGGCCUGUACUGACGCUCAUGCACGAAAGCGUGGGGAGCAAACAGG
rnacentral:rRNA from 1 species